rnacentral:rRNA from 1 species
UACGUAGGUGGCAAGCGUUGUCCGGAAUUAUUGGGCGUAAAGCGCGCGCAGGCGGCCUCUUAAGUCUGAUGUGAAAUCUUGCGGCUCAACCGCAAGCGGCCAUUGGAAACUGGGGGGCUUGAGUACAGAAGAGGAGAGUGGAAUUCCACGUGUAGCGGUGAAAUGCGUAGAUAUGUGGAGGAACACCAGUGGCGAAGGCGACUCUCUGGUCUGUAACUGACGCUGAGGCGCGAAAGCGUGGGGAUCAAACAGG